rnacentral:lncRNA from 13 species
AUGGAACAGGAAGGGAAUACCCUUCAGACACACACACUGAUCUACCUCGCCGGGAUUCUGAGGACUCACGGCUCCAAGACCAUUGCCGUUUGCCACAUUUCCAUUGGCACUCCCAGUUCCAUUUCUGUUCGUGUUCCCAGUCCCAUUGGCACUCCCAGUUCCAUUCCUGUUCGUUUCCCAGUUCCAGUUCCAUUGGCACUCCCACUUCCAUUCCUGUUAGUGUUCCCAUGGCGAUCAGCUGCAUCUCUGUCCACCAGUUCCUCUCCUCCUCCCUCCUCGCUCUCUUGUCUUCCUUCUUCGUUGGUGUUCUCUCCAUUCUCUUGCAUCUCGUCCAGCGCUAUAGAGAACUGGGCGAGGGUGCGAACCAUGUGCAGCAUACGGAAUAGCCUGUGUGUAUCGACACACGAUCACACACACCCCCUGCACACCCAGAAACGGAUGACUUGUGUGUCGAUACACACACCCACGAUACGCCCCCUCAACACAACAGCUCACCCAAAAAAUGGCCCCCUCCCUCUCCCUCCCCUACUCCCCUUGGCCCAAAUGCUCACUGGUCAUUCCGGAAGAGUGUGAAAAUCGCCGCCCCUCCUCCCCCGUUUCAAUUCCAAAAAUAAACCCCCUCUCUCCAGGUUGUGUUCCCCUCCACUCCAAAAGACCACAUGUCCUUUAAAUCCUUUAAGUCCAGUGGUCAGUCUGUGCUUUAGGAAUGAUCCCCAUCUACAGGAAUGAUCCCCAUCUACACCCACGGUUCUCCGAGUCCACUCAAACGUUUUCGGUGAGUGUGUGUUUUCCUGUAGCUCUGCUCAGGCAGGUAGCGCCGUACGUGUGUGUGUGUGUGAUGUUGAGCACUCUCUCCGUGGCCGUGUGUGCGAGUCUGUGGGAGAUGCAGCCCUUCCCCUGAGUGUGUGUGUGUAUAAUGAGAGACCGCAGGCAGGGCAGACGCUCACCGCUCAGCCCAGCGCAGGCAGACUCAACCAAUCCAUCCUAGAGUAAUUGAUAGAGGAUAUGAGAGUAGCCAGACUCUGCGAGAUGAUUACAGAGCCAUCUAUCCUUGUAUCUCAGGCAGAUUUAGUCGAGCUCAGACACAAACGCUAGGUAAUGCUUAAAGGUCACCAUGACAACUGGAAGGUUGUGGUUCUCUCUCAGGACUUGUAGUAGUUAUAAGUGAUGGGCUACACAUUCUGCAAAGAGCUCUGGGUAUUUGACUGAGAAAACCCCAUUCUGCAAAGAGCUCUGGGUAUUUGACUGAGAAAACCCCAUUCUGCAAAGAGCUCUGGGUAUUUGACUGAGAAAACCCCAUUCUGCAAAGAGNNNNNNNNNNGUACCACUUGCAAAUUGAUAUGUGACACGUAUUAAUGCCACAAUAACAUGCAAAUUGAUAUGUGACACGUAUUAAUGCCACAAUAACAUGUAAAACAGGAAAGACACCCAAAAUCAAUACAUAAAUACAUUUUAGGCCUAUAUUUAUUUUGUUUGCAACUAUAGUUGAAGUGUUUUCUAUUUAACCUUCUCAGAUUUGAUAUUUUGUUACAUGCUUAACUGAAAAUUUCCACAAAGGUUC